GACGCGGUUCGUCGAUCCUGUGGGCCCCAUCGAUUGUUUACUUUUCUUAUAAGUUGCGUUCCUUCUCCUGCUUCCACGCCGGAGGAUAAAACCUCUUCGCAGUAGAGAGAAUUUGUCUUUCGCUCAAUUUCUUUUUCGAUUUAUUUCCGCGUAAACCCCAUUCUCUGUGGCAUACAGAAUAAAAAUAGAACAGAGUGAAGAGGAGAAAGACAUCGGAGAAGCAGAAUGUACUGCACAAAUACCAGCACAGUCAGCACAAAUGGUAGCACCACCACCGCCACCACCACCACGGAGAAUGGAAAUAAUCAACAGGGAGAAACAAAAUUCAGGACUAACCAUUGGCUGGCUUAGCUUUGAUUGUUGAACGGUUUGGCACGUAUUAUGCAGAUGAGGCGGUGCAUAUUGCUUUUCCAUUUUUUUGUUGUUUGGGCGUUAUUGUUUUGAAUAGAAGGUCUGCACGAGCAUUCAAAUGGCAGAAGAGGGCAACAGUCUUAUGUUUUAUUGUUACUGAUGGAUAUGUUUGGUGUUUCAACUUGUACAUUCUUUUCCGAAUCAAGGAUUGCGGGAUGCGGGAAGCAGGUAUUUUUGCAAAGAAGUUAUAUCUGUUGAGAGUUCGAUUUGGUGGGGACGCCUUCUGUGAAGAGAAUUGCAAGAGGGAGGCAGCAUCACCGGACCUUGCACGAUGCUCAUCACCUAGGUCAACUAAUUUCCUUUUCCGUCGAAUUAAUUAUAUUGCCUCUGCUUUUUUUUUUUUAUUCGCUGCAUGUGGGUGUGUUCUAUUUUUGUCUUCAAUUUCUUGGUUCCUUGGUGAUUUGACAUUUAACAAUUAAUUAGGCUUUGUUUGUUAUAUACAUGUUGGGCUGGCUUCAUGGCGCAAUAUUUUUUUUUUCCUGUUUCCGUUUGAGUAGUUCAUGUCCGGUGUUCCAUUUCUGUGUCUGACACAUAUUUUCUUCCCUCCGCUUUUUAACUAACCGCCUUUUAUAAUUUCUUGGGGACCUUUUCUUUUUUGAGCUUGCUGUUGACUACAUCGAUUGGGCUCAGCCGCUCAGG